rnacentral:tRNA from 1 species
UCCCGUCGUGGUGCGGCGGCGGCGCCGGUGGCCGCUGCUCGCCGCGGCGGCGGCCGUCGUCGCGCUGGCGGUGCUCGGUACCGCGGUCGGCAUCC